rnacentral:tRNA from 2 species
GGAUAGUUGGCAGAGUCUGGUUGAAUGCACUGGUCUUGAAAACCAGCAAGGGGUCAAACCCUUCAUAGGUUCGAAUCCUAUACUAUCCGCCA